UAGGGAAUCGCACGAAUGGAAAUGUGCGUCCAAGCAGUGAGUGUGAGAAGUAGGCAAAUCCGCUUCUCGCAAAGCAUGAGCUGUGAUGGGGAAGGAAAUUAAGUACGGAAGUUCCUGAUUUCACGCUGUCAAGAAAAGCCUCUAGGAAGAGUAGUACUGCCCGUACCGCAAACCGACACAGGUAGAUGAGGAGAGAAUCCUAAGGUGAGCGAGAGAACUCUCGUUAAGGAACUCGGCAAAAUGACCCCGUAACUUCGGGAGAAGGGGUGCUCUAUUAGGGUGCAAGCCCGAGAGAGCCGCAGUGAAUAGGCCCAGGCGACUGUUUAGCAAAAACACAGGUCUCUGCAAAACCGUAAGGUGACGUAUAGGGGCUGACGCCUGCCCGGUGCUGGAAGGUUAAGAGGAGUGCUUAGCUUCGGCGAAGGUACGAAUUGAAGCCCCAGUAAACGGCGGCCGUAACUAUAACGGUCCUAAGGUAGCGAAAUUCCUUGUCGGGUAAGUUCCGACCCGCACGAAAGGCGCAACGAUCUGGGCACUGUCUCAACGAGAGACUCGGUGAAAUUAUAGUACCUGUGAAGAUGCAGGUUACCCGCGACAGGACGGAAAGACCCCGUGGAGCUUUACUGCAACCUGAUAUGGAAUGUUUGUACCGCUUGUACAGGAUAGGUAGGAGCCGAAGAGACGUGUGCGCUAGCAUACGAGGAGGCAAUGGUGGGAUACUACCCUGGCUGUAUGACCAUUCUAACCCGCCACGCUUAGCGCGUGGGGAGACAGUGUCAGGUGGGCAGUUUGACUGGGGCCU
rnacentral:rRNA from 1 species